rnacentral:rRNA from 1 species
UGGGGAAUAUUGCACAAUGGGGGAAACCCUGAUGCAGCGACGCCGCGUGAGUGAAGAAGUAUUUCGGUACGUAAAGCUCUAUCAGCAGGGAAGAAAAUGACGGUACCUGACUAAGAAGCCCCGGCUAACUACGUGCC